rfam:Zootermopsis nevadensis contig7886, whole genome shotgun sequence.
GCCACGGUGGUCUAGUGGUUAGAACUCUGGCCUUGUAAUCCUGGGGUCUCGGGUUCGAUUCCCGGCGGUGCCA